rnacentral:rRNA from 1 species
GGGUUGUGAGGUUAAGCGAAUAAGCGUACACGGUGGAUGCCUAGGCAAUCAGAGGCGAUGAAGGACGUGCUAAUCUGCGAAAAGC